rnacentral:rRNA from 1 species
GACGAACGCUGGCGGCGUGCUUAACACAUGCAAGUCGAACGGUGAAGCGCCUUCCUUUUUGGUUGGUGUGGAUGAGUGGCGAACGGGUGAGUAACACGGGAGUAACCUUCCCCCUUCUUCUGGAUAACCGCAUGAAAGUGUGGCUAAUACGGGAUAUUCUGGGUCUGUCGCAUGAUGGGUCUGGGAAAGCUUUUGUUUCGGUGGUGGAUGGGCCCGCGGCCUAUUAGCUUGUUGGUGGGGUGAUGGCUUACCAAGGCGGUGAUGGGUAGCCGGCGUGAGAGGGUGGUGGACGGCCCCGGAGGGGCGGAGCGGCGGCGCAGACUCCGGGGGGAGGCAGCAGGGGAGAUUAUGGAACAGGGGGAGGAAGGAUGGAGCAGCGCCGCGGGGUGGGGGAUGGAGGCCGUCGGGUUGUGAACUGCUUUCGGGAGUGAAGCAGGGCGGCAUCGUUUGUGGGUGGGUUGACGGUAGCUGGUCAGGAAGCGACGGCUAACUACGUG